rnacentral:tRNA from 1 species
CCUUUUCCUCGAGCGAGAUGGCGAGUUCGCGCGCUUCCGCCGCGUUGACGGCGCAGAUACGGCCGUCGCCGUCGAUCCAGUCGACCAGCAGGGC